rnacentral:rRNA from 1 species
AACGAACGCUGGCGGCAUGCCUAACACAUGCAAGUCGAACGAACCCUUCGGGGUUAGUGGCGCACGGGUGCGUAACGCGUGGGAAUCUGCCCUUUGCUUCGGAAUAACAGUUAGAAAUGACUGCUAAUACCGGAUGAUGUCUUCGGACCAAAGAUUUAUCGGCAAGGGAUGAGCCCGCGUAGGAUUAGGUAGUUGGUGGGGUAAAGGCCUACCAAGCCGACGAUCCUUAGCUGGUCUGAGGGGAUGAUCAGCCACACUGGGACUGAGACACGGCCCAGACUCCUGCGGGAGGCAGCAGUGGGGAAUAUUGGACAAUGGGCGCAAGCCUGAUCCAGCAAUGCCGCGUGAGUGAUGAAGGCCUUCGGGUCGUAAAGCUCUUUUACCAGGGAUGAUAAUGACAGUACCUGGAGAAUGAGCUCCGGCUAACUCCGUGCCAGCAGCCGCCGUAAAAC